CGAGGGAGAGGAGGUUGAUGGAGGAGGAGAUGGCGGAGAGUUGACGGCAGAUGGGGUGGGAGUAGGGGAAGAAGCCAGUGGCGGAGUUGAAGGGACAGUUGUUGGAGCAGGACCAGGAGCAGAAGCCGGUGGUUGAGGAGUUGCAGAAGGCGGCUGAGUCGUUGGUGUAGACAGCGGAGAUGGCGCGGCGGAGGGCUGCUGCGCCACGGAGAAUCCAACCAACAAUGCUACAAUCACGAAUACCAAAACCCUAGACACGGCCAUUGUUAAUUUGUUAGACAAGAAAAUCUUAAAAGCACCG
rnacentral:lncRNA from 1 species